rnacentral:rRNA from 1 species
UACGAAGGGGGCUAGCGUUGCUCGGAAUCACUGGGCGUAAAGCGCACGUAGGCGGCUUUUUAAGUCAGGGGUGAAAUCCUGGAGCUCAACUCCAGAACUGCCUUUGAUACUGGCGACCUUGAGUCCGGGAGAGGUGAGUGGAACUGCGAGUGUAGAGGUGAAAUUCGUAGAUAUUCGCAAGAACACCAGUGGCGAAGGCGGCUCACUGGCCCGGUACUGACGCUGAGGUGCGAAAGCGUGGGGAGCAACAGG